CCUACGGGAGGCAGCAGUGAGGAAUAUUGGUCAAUGGGAGAGAUCCUGAACCAGCCAAGCCGCGUGAGGGAAGACGGCCCUAUGGGUUGUAAACCUCUUUUGUCGGAGAACAAAACCCGGGAAGUGUCCCGGACUGCGUGUACCCGAAGAAAAAGCAUCGGCUAACUCCGUGACAGCAGCCGCGGUAAUAUGGAGGAUGAGAGCGUUAUCCGGUUUUAGUGGGUUUAACGGGUGCGUAGGCGGUCCGUUAAGUCAGCGGUAAAAUUGCGGGGCUCAACCCCGUCGAGCCGUUGAAACUGGCAGACUUAAGUUGGCGGGAAGUACGCGGAAUGCGCGGUGUAGCGUUGAAAGGCAUGGAUAUCGCGCAGAACUCCGAUUGCGAAGGCAGCGUACCGGCGCCAGACUGACGCUGAGGCACGAAAGCGUGGGGAUCGAACAGGAUUAGAUACCCUGUAGUC
rnacentral:rRNA from 1 species